rnacentral:rRNA from 1 species
AGAGUGAACGCUGGCGGCAUGCCUAACACAUGCAAGUCGAACGGUAACAGGCCCGCAAGGGUGCUGACGAGUGGCGGACGGGUGAGGAAUACAUCGGAAUCUGCCCGGUUGUGGGGGAUAACGUAGGGAAACUUACGCUAAUACCGCAUACGACCUACGGGUGAAAGCGGGGGACCUUCGGGCCUCGCGCAGUCGGAUGAGCCGAUGUCGGAUUAGCUAGUUGGCGGGGUAAAGGCCCACCAAGGCGACGAUCCGUAGCUGGUCUGAGAGGAUGAUCAGCCACACUGGGACUGAGACACGGCCCAGACUCCUACGGGAGGCAGCAGUGGGGGAAUAUUGGACAAUGGGGGCAACCCUGAUCCAGCAAUGCCGCGUGUGUGAAGAAGGCCUUGGGUUGUAAAGCACUUUAUCCGGAACGAACGCGUGGGUGAAUAGCCUUACGACUGACGGUACCGGAGGAAUAAGCACCGGCUAACUUCGUGCCAGCAGCCGCGGU